GACGAACGCUGGCGGCGUGCUUAACACAUGCAAGUGGUGCGACGAACCAGGCUUCGGCCUGGGGCGAAGCCGCGAACGGGUGAGAAACACGUGGGCAAUCUGCCCCUUUGAUCGGGACAACCCGGGGAAACCCGGGCUAAUACCGAAUGAGGUGGCGACUCAUGAGAGUCGUCACGAAAGGAAGCUUCGGCCUCCGCGAAGGGAUGAGCCCGCGGCCCAUUAGCUUGUUGGUGGGUAAUGGCCUACCAAGGCAACGAUGGGUAGCUGGUCUGAGAGGACGAUCAGCCACACUGGGACUGAGACACGGCCCAGACUCCUACGGGAGGCUGCAGUGGGGAAUCUUGCGCAAUGAGCGACAGCUUGACGCAGCAGCGCCGCGUGAGGGAAGAAGGCUUUCGGGUCGUAAACCUCUUUCAGUUAGGACGAAGCUUUAUUGGUUAAUAACCAAUUGGAGUGACGGUACCUUCAGAAGAAGCCCCGGCUAACUACGUGCCAGCAGCCGCAGUAA
rnacentral:rRNA from 1 species